UAGGAACAGAGAGACUUUCUUCAUUCUUUCAGCUUCUGGUUGCUCAUUUGUUUUGUUCGUUGCCACGGUACGGGAUAGCCGCCCCCACUAGCAGGAGGUGGCUUGGCUGUGUAUGAGGUAUUACUGAGAAUCCUCACGACUCUUCCAUUUUUUGCUGCUUGUCUCCACAUAUGCCUCUUCCGGCACAGCACCUCCAGAUUUUAGCGAAAUCAGCUCAACAUUUCCAAGUUCCUGUGAUGGAUCAGAGGCAUUCAGAUCUCUGCAAAGACAUCAGAGGAGGAAAAACAAAGAAGUGUCUGCGUUGGUAAAUACGGGGUCUCUGCGAUCUCUUGCAGAAUGUUAAUAUUUUCGUAUUUCUCAAAGUACCUUCAUCUCCCCCACCUCCUAGACCCUCAGUGACACCACUGCCCAGAACUUUCAAUUCUGUGUCAGUCCAAAGCAAGCCCUCUGUAAUGUUUACCGCUGAGCAUUACCAGGGAGAAACUGCCCAGUUCUGCAGAUCGGCCCCACAUCAUGCUUCCAUUUACCAACCUCAAGAACUGUCAUCGGCCUCGUGCACCAUCUCCUGUUCUUUGCCUGGCUGACCUCUCCCCGGCUUUUAGGUCUCAGCAUACACUUAAAGCCUCAGAGAAACCCUCCCCAAUCU